rnacentral:rRNA from 1 species
UACAACAUAGCAUUAAUGCACUGGAUCCCAUUAGAACUCCGCAGUUAAGCACACUCAUGCUAGAGUAGUACUGGGAUGGCUGACCACCCAAGAAGUCGUAGUAUUUUAC